CAGCUUCACAUAUGAGUAAGAAAAACAAAAAUACACGGGACUCUCUUUCUAGAGAAAAAUGUAGAAAAACACAAAGGGAGACAGCUUUGAUCAAUUAAUUGCUUUGCUAUCUGGAAUUGUCUUGCUAAGCAUAACACGUUUCAAAUCAGACUGAAUCUCCACUUCAUGCUAUUAUUUCUAACUCCUUAAACCAAGGAGGAAAACAGUAACAACCAGACAACCAAAAGGUCCUUUUGGCCUUGGACUUCGUCUUUCCCUAAGAGAGAAUGCACGUUAGGACCCCUUUGCUUGGUAGUUUCAAGUCUGUGAAACACUGUUAGAUAAUUAUUUAAGUCACAAAUAGUGACGGUUUGAUUAUAAAUCAUAACAGCAGAAAGGGGGCGCCAAGAAGGCCCAGAGAAGCCAGCACCAGAAUGCAGCGCCCAUCAGAUGAGACGCAGAGGGCUAGAGGACUUCACAAUUCCAAACGAGGUGUCCGUUCGUUUCUGUGGGACGGAGAGGGCACUGAAUUUAGGCCGCAGGAGGGUGAGAAUUCCAACAUCAAGGAGCUAGCAAGGUCUUCAGUUGAUUGAGGGAUGACCAUCUGAAUCAAGGAGGGCAAUCUGUUUUGCUGAGUCUACCAAUUCAGAUGCUAGACUUGUCCAGAAACAUCCUCACAGACACAUAUAGAAUAAUGUUUAACUACAGAAACUACAGAACCUGCUUAUGUCUUUACCUGUCUGUCAGUUUCCUGGUAUGAGGAGCCUGAAAUGACUGAGUGACAGCCAAAGCUUAAAAUUUAAUGGGGCUUUUUCUCUGUGCCUUGGUGGAAGUUCUCCUGCUCUUUGACAACCGUUAAACCUACAUACUGCAGAGUUAUGGGAAUGGGAGACACAAAACCGCCAAGUGGAUAACUGGGUAUGAUGUUAAGGGGGGUCAUUUCUAUUUUCACCCUAUAAUUAGUUCUCAGACCCAUGCAUUCGACUCACUGGGGAUGCAACACAGUACAGUGAUCUAUGGUUUAGGGUAUACAG
rnacentral:lncRNA from 13 species